rnacentral:rRNA from 1 species
UACGUAGGGUGCAAGCGUUGUCCGGAAUUAUUGGGCGUAAAGAGCUCGUAGGUGGCCUGUCGCGUCGGCUGUGAAAACUCGGGGCUCAACUCCGAGCUUGCAGUCGAUACGGGCAGGCUAGAGUUCGGCAGGGGAGACUGGAAUUCCUGGUGUAGCGGUGAAAUGCGCAGAUAUCAGGAGGAACACCGAUGGCGAAGGCAGGUCUCUGGGCCAUAACUGACGCUGAGAAGCGAAAGCAUGGGGAGCGAACAGG